rnacentral:rRNA from 1 species
GAUUAACGCUAGCGGCAGGCCUAAUACAUGCAAGUCGAGGGGUAACAGGGUAGCAAUACCGCUGACGACCGGCGCACGGGUGCGUAACACGUAUGAAAUCUACCUAUAACUGGGGAAUAGCCUUCCGAAAGGAAGAUUAACACCGCAUAAUACUACAGAGAGGCAUCUUUUUGUAGUCAAACCUCCGGGGGUUAUAGAUGAUCAUGCGUUCGAUUAGAUAGUUGGCGAGGUAACGGCUCACCAAGUCUACGAUCGAUAGGGGUUCUGAGAGGAAGAUCCCCCACACUGGUACUGAGACACGGACCAGACUCCUACGGGAGGCAGCAGUAAGGAAUAUUGGACAAUGGCCGCAAGGCUGAUCCAGCCAUGCGCGUGCAGGAUGACAGAGCUCUGCUCCGUAAACUGCUUUUACUUGGGAAAAAACCCCUGCAUUCUUGCGGGGCUGAUUGUACCGAGAGAAUAAGGGACGGCUAACUUCGUGCCAGCCGCCGCCGUAAGAC